rnacentral:rRNA from 1 species
GAUGAACGCUGGCGGCGUGCUUAACACAUGCAAGUCGAACGGACAGGCCCAAGCUUUCUUGGGUACUCGAGUGGCGAACGGGUGAGUAACACGCGGGUGAUCUGCCCCGCACUUCGGGAUAUGCCUGGGAAACUGGGUCUAAUACCGGAUAGGACAGAGGUAUGGACGCAAUUGUGGAAAGUUUUUUCGGUGUGGGAUGAGUUCGCGGCCUAUCAGCUUGUUGGUGCGGUAAUGGCCUCCCAAGGCGUCGGCGGGUAGCCGGCCGGAGGGUGUGUGAGGCCACAGUGGGACUGAGAGGAGGCCCAGACUCCUACGGGAGGCAGCAGUGGGGAAUCUUGCACAAGGGGCGCAAGCCUAGUGCAGCGACGCCGCGUGGGGGAUAACGUCCUUCGGGUUGUAAACUCCUUUCGCUAGGGACGAGGCGUUAUGUGACGGUACCUAGAGAAGAAGCACCGGCUAACUACGUG